rnacentral:rRNA from 1 species
GCGAAGCGGGAAGAGCUCAAAUUUAUAAUCUGGCACCUUCGGUGUCCGAGUUGUAAUCUCUAGAAGUGUUUUCCGCGUUGGACCGCACACAAGUCUGUUGGAAUACAGCGGCAUAGUGGUGAAACCCCCGUAUAUGGUGCGGACGCCCAGCGCUUUGUGAUACACUUUCAAUGAGUCGAGUUGUUUGGGAAUGCAGCUCAAAUUGGGUGGUAAAUUCCAUCUAAAGCUAAAUAUUGGCGAGAGACCGAUAGCGAACAAGUACCGUGAGGGAAAGAUGAAAAGCACUUUGGAAAGAGAGUUAACAGUACGUGAAAUUGUUGGAAGGGAAACGCUUGAAGUCAGACUUGCUUGCCGGAGCUUGCUUCGGUUUGCAGGCCAGCAUCAGUUUUCCGGGGUGGAUAAUGACGGUUUGAAGGUAGCAGUCUCGGCUGUGUUAUAGCUUUCCGUUGGAUACAUCCUGGGGGACUGAGGAACGCAGCGUGCUUUUUGCGAAAGACUCGUCUUUUUCACGCUUAGGAU